rnacentral:sRNA from 1 species
GUGGUGCUAGAAUGAUGAUUUUAUAAAGAUCAAGUUCACAAUUUCAGGUUGAACUCCAUUCCGUUUUUUGCCCCCUUCUCAUCACUGCAUUUGACUAGUCUUUA